UCUCCUUCUGCCCGGCGGGUCCGCUACCGCGGGCCACGUAGCGUCCCGGCCUCCGCCGACCUCGUUCCGGGCGCCACAACGCGGAAAGAUCCACUGACUCAGAGGGUAAGAAGCCCAUGGAGCUUUGGGGAGCAAGAUUAAAUGUGGGAGUAUUUGCUUUCUAUAUGAUGAAGGAGUCUAUUCCUGUCGCUGUUUGACCUGCUGCUGCAGCAGCUUCCAGCACAUCCAAAGAGAAAACCUGAAGUUCAAGACUUUCAAGAAAUUAUCACAAAAGGCUAGUGCUUCAUUUACAGCAAAGUGUUAGCCUCCUCGCAAAAAACAGCGGAAAACGAAACAGGACUGGAAGCUCUGAGACUUCUUCAAUCCAUGGAACAUUUGAACAAGGUUGUGGGGCCACAAAGUGCUUCAGUGAACCGAUUUCAAUCAGCGCCCCAACCAGCACUGAGAAGCCUCCAUGACGGGUUUGAGGGCUUCUCCCGAACUCCUUGGAGGACCAGGUCAUCCCAGUCUGCAAGGAAGUGGGCACUGAGCUGGUAUAUCCAGACCUUGCUGCUAGCGCUAUACCAGGCUCUCAGAAACCCAGCUAGGGCUCCACUGGUAAAAACAAACUAUCCCCGUAUGACAUGUUAUGGCUACCAAAAAAAUGCUUCUUAAGAGCCUUUAAUGGGAGAAAUAAUACUGGUGAUUUACACGCAGUACAGUGCAGUAAAGACUGAGGGUCCUGGGCAGCCAGUCAAGAUGAAGAUCAUGGCUUUUGUCCACAACUAGCUCAUUUCAGCUAAUUGAUGAAAUGUGUUACUGAAGAAUUCACCCCAUUUAUCAUCUUACACUGUGAUUCAUAAAGACAAAAAUUAGGAAAUACUGCUUGGUUCAUACAUAUAAUCUUUGGAAAGAAUAUCAAAAGAGGAUAAGAAGCAUACAGUCUCUAGUGACUAAUGACACAGAAGAAGAAAAUACUUAUAAAGGUAUAGACAAGUGAUGAAACCAUGUCAGAGACUAUUAGACGUGAUUCUAUUUUCUUUCUUUUGGCUUAUCUGUAGACUUUAACUGUUCCACGAGUAUGUAUCACCACCUUUGUGAUACUGUCCUGCCAGUCUGUUGAUUUAAGUGAUUAAAAAACC